CAUUGUUGCAUUCAACCUUCUCAUCUGAUAAAAAUAGGGCAUGACAUUGCAUGGUAAAAUUAAAAUAAAUAAAUAAAAAUUAAAACAGGGAAAAUCACAUUUCUUCA
rnacentral:rRNA from 12 species